rnacentral:rRNA from 1 species
GAUGAACGCUGGCGGCGUGCCUAAUACAUGCGAGUCGAGCGAACAGACGAGGAGCUUGCUCCUCUGACGUUAGCGACGGACGGGUGAGUAACACGUGGAUAACCUACCUAUAAGACUGGGAUAACUUCGGGAAACCGGAGCUAAUACCGGAUAAUAUAUUGAACCGCAUGGUUCAAUAGUGAAAGACGGUUUUGCUGUCACUUAUAGAUGGAUCCGCGCCGCAUUAGCUAGUUGGUAAGGUAACGGCUUACCAAGGCAACGAUGCGUAGCCGACCUGAGAGGGUGAUCGGCCACACUGGAACUGAGACACGGUCCAGACUCCUACGGGAGGCAGCAGUAGGGAAUCUUCCGCAAUGGGCGAAAGCCUGACGGAGCAACGCCGCGUGAGUGAUGAAGGUCUUCGGAUCGUAAAACUCUGUUAUUAGGGAAGAACAAAUGUGUAAGUAACUAUGCACGUCUUGACGGUACCUAAUCAGAAAGCCACGGCUAACUACGUG